GAUAAUCAUUCAGCCCAUCUUACUGUAUCGACUAAUCUGUGUGUGUUACGCGGUCGACAGUCUCCCCUUCAUCUUCUCCAAUCUCUGUUUUUUUUGCCUUGCUGUUAUCUUCUUUCUUCAAUGUUGUGAUUCAUCUCCCCUUGAUUCUUCUCUUAUAUAAAGCUCUAUCUCAAAACCUCAGUCCAUCAUAGAAAGAAAAAAAAACCCUACUUUGCAAAAACUAAAUCCAUGGCAAUGAAAUCCGCCGCAAAGUCUCACCUUACCACCGGAAAAGCUCCCGUCGCCAUCUAUUUCAAAGUGACAUCUCACCAGCCAUCUGAGUCACAGCUCCAGUUUGGGAUAAUCCACUUUUGGGAGGCCACUAAUUUUCUGAUCCUGAUCCAUGAUUUGCUCCUGUUUUGUUUGUCGUAGGUUGUAUGUGUAAUAUCUGAUGGCUUUGGUGGAAACCGGGUUUUUGCAGAUUACUGACUAUUGUCAUGAGAGGAUCCGUUUUGCUUUGGCUGAAGAAAAUAAAUGGAUUAAAGAAGAAGUGUAGUGUGAUAGAGGAACACUCAUGAGGGUAUGCCGGUCCAAUGGAUUUGUCGAUUAAAGGUUCGGUGAUGAAGUUAAAGGGAAGAGAAACAUACAUGUUGGUCGUUCUUCAGAUAUGAUAUAGAAAAUGGGUGUGUACGAAUAGAGAGAGAGCUGGAGCAAAAUUUAUACAAUGGCAAAGCUUCCCAUAAGCAGAGACAUCUACGGCAGAGCAGCCUUAGCUUCCAGUUCGAAAGGAAGCACCAGAGAUUCUGUUUAAGCAACUGGAAGAUGAUGACUGAAAUAGACUCUCAAUCAAGUGACUGUGUGGCCAAGGAAAUAUGUUGACAUGAGCUCUUACAGACACAAGGAUUAACUGAUCUUGAGCCGUUACAGCCAAGAUAUGGCUUGUACUCCAUCAUUAACAAAUGAGGGAAAGGUGGUGGACACAGCAGGUGAUUGCAGCAGAGCAAGCUUCAAUGCUUCCCCAGUGCUCUUGCAAGAAUGUGCAUCUUUCUCUAGAUUAUUAAGAAAUCCGAGUAUUCGAGAUUAGGAAGGGCGAAUCUCGAAACUUUGCAAGGAUCUGCGACUCCAGCGUUUAGAAGAUCCUCAUAUCUUCCAGACAUUGCGUUGUAACCGCUUCUCCAUUCGAGUUCUCUGGUUUUCUCCACCACAACUGCUCCAUCAACCCCGGCAUUGGUUGCUAUGACCAUUGCAGGUGACUUGAGCGCCUGCAAAGCACACACAGAGAGUGAUGCUAACUUUUGAAGGGUCUUUCAGGAAGGUUUAAAAAAAAACAGGUUUCAUACCGUUGCUACUAUAUCUGCACCUAUUUGUUCGUAUGAAUCUUCCAUCUGAUU